CUCGUAGGCGGUUCGUCGCGUCCGGUGUGAAAGUCCAUCGCCUAACGGUGGAUCUGCGCCGGGUACGGGCGGGCUGGAGUGCGGUAGGGGAGACUGGAAUUCCCGGUGUAACGGUGGAACGUGUAGAUAUCGGGAAGAACACCAAUGGCGAAGGCAGGUCUCUGGGCCGUUACUGACGCUGAGGAGCGAAAGCGUGGGGAGCGAACA
rnacentral:rRNA from 1 species